UACGGAGGAUCCAAGCGUUAUCCGGAAUCAUUGGGUUUAAAGGGUCCGUAGGCGGCCGAGUAAGUCAGUGGUGAAAGCCCAUCGCUCAACGGUGGAACGGCCAUUGAUACUGCUCGGCUUGAAUUACUGGGAAGUAACUAGAAUAUGUAGUGUAGCGGUGAAAUGCUUAGAUAUUACAUGGAAUACCGAUUGCGAAGGCAGGUUACUACCAGUUUAUUGACGCUGAUGGACGAAAGCGUGGGGAGCGAACAGG
rnacentral:rRNA from 1 species